AAAAGUCCAACCUGACUCUUUGGGCCCUUCGCCGGGCACAAAGUUAAACCCACUGUGCAACUUCAAAUUUUUGCUUCGGCAGCUGGCCGGGUCUAAACAUUCGCGCCGUCAGCCUGCCGGCAGCACCAAUUCAAACCAGUUUUACAAAAUAUGUCUGAACGCAUCAUUAUUGAAUGAAAUCA
rnacentral:misc_RNA from 1 species